UACACUGUAAAAAAUCCAAUUAAUGAAAUGUUGGAAGGGCAAAAAUAUAUAAGUUAAACCAAUUUUCUUGUUUGGGCUUAGUUGAGUAGACAUAUUAUUUUAAGUCUAGAUAAAUCUGUGUUUAAAACAUUAAGUGAAUGGUUAUUUUCAAAUUCAGUCAACAUUCAGAAUGGCUAUGUUGACUGAACUAAUUAAGACAAAUCUGGUCAAUAUGUGGACUUAUGACAGCUAUGUUUCCUGACAACAAAAUGCUCAUAAUAUUACUGUUAUUUGGUAACAAAAUGUAAUUUUAAGAGUUGUUCAGGCGUGAAUGUAUGUGCUUUAAGUUUAAAUAUGCGGUCGGUUAAUAUAGAUAGCGUCUAUUUAAAAAUGUGCUCGGACACUUUCGGACGGAGAUGAGCUCCAGAAGAGCUCCAGAAAAUCACAGACACUUAAGCGCUCACACCCCGCCCAGCGCAGCCUCGCCUCGGCAAGCCCAUCAGAAAUCGACUGCUGGCUCUGAUAUCUCUGUGGCGUUUAAACAUGCGAUUUAAUUCAUUUUAAUUUCUUAUACUUAAUAAUAAAAGGUUUACCGGUAUGUUUUAAAUCAUAUUUUAGGAUUGCACUUAAAUGAUAUCGCUGUUGAAUGAUAUUUCAUAUCUUUCACAUUCGUUAUAAUCGGACUGCGUACUGCCUGCGAAUUUGAACUUCAGAGCUGAAGGUGCGAGUGGAGAAAUAGUCCCAAUAUCAUAACAAUCUUAAAACUUCUAAAUAUACCCGUGUGUGUACCCGUGUGCGUGCGUGUGUGCGCGCGCGUGUGCAUGUAUGUAUGUAUGUAUGUACGUGCGUCUGUGUAUUUUGAAUUUAAAAUGUUUUAACUCGGAAGGAUCUGGAUCACAGGUCAUUUCAUCUGAGAUCAAUCCGCACGCAACAGCUGGAAUCACUUACUGUUUCACACAAGGGAGGACACACAAGUCAGCCGUUUCCUCAAGUUCACGUCAGAGGGAUACAUAGCGAGACAGUCUCCGCUUGGACUGGCUGAGGAAAGUCUCCUAAAUGGCCCUGGAGAUGUUCUGACUGACUUUGGAGGCUUUUUGGACUGUUUUAUGCCCUCUAUUUAAAGACUUAAUUCAGUCUGUAUGAUAAGUGAAUAAAAAGCUUUUGUUUUUAUGUGACUGAAGUUAAUUAUUUUGUUUACAACACCAGCAUAAAUUAUUUGAUAAAUAAUUUAAAAAUGUUAUUAAAAAAAUCCCAAAUAAUAAAUAUUAAUUGAAGUAACACAUAAAACAUUGAGUGAAUACUUAAAUUUUAAUUGACAGAGUCUUUGCUGUAAGUUUUUAAAGAUUCAACUGAUUAAAACAUUUUAGUUGAAUGAACUAUAAAGCUAAUUGAGCCAACAUACUUUUUUAUAUUUGAGUCAAAUUUGGGCCAACUAAAAAACAUCAAUCCAGGAAACACUUUGGAGACAGAAAUUGAGUGAACGUAAAAUUUCUGUGGAACUAGUUACUAAAAAAUAAUUCAUUGAGCCAACAAUUUAUUUUUUACAGUGUAUUUAAAACUCU